AUGCUGCUAUUUGAGGCUUCCGGCCAGCAGGCGCACAUUGUCAAGGGGCUGUUGAACACUUAUACCUCAGCUACGGGUCAACUCAUUAACCCAGAAAAGUGUUCCAUCCUUUUCUCAGACAACUGCUCUGCUGUGGUGGUAGAUGAUGUCAAGAGUAUCCUGGAAAUUAAGCAGCAAGUGUUCGAACCUAAGUAUCUCGGCCUUCCUGUUCCGGAAGGAAGAGUGCACAAGGGACAAUUUGAAUCCCUACAAGAAAGGUUGAGGAAGAGAUUAAUUGAUUGGAGUGAACAAUAUGUCUCAAUGGGCAACAAAGAAAUCUUGAUCAAGGCAGUAGCGCAAGCAAUACCUACAUAUGUUAUGAGUGUAUUUCGGCUACCGGCCUCUGUGUGUGAUGACUUAACACGUAUGAUGAGACAGUAUUGGUGGGGAGUAGAGAAUGGAAAGAGGAAAAUGGCCUGGCUCAGCUGGGAGAAAAUGAUCUUACCCAAGGAUAUGGGGGGCAUGGGUUUUAGAGAUAUGAGGGCGUUUAACCGGGCGCUUCUUGCAAAACAAGCCUGGAGGUUGCUUGAAAGUCCUGAUACUUUAUGUGCUCGUUUGGUACGAGCUAAAUAUUAUCCCAAUGGGAAUCUGCUUGAUACACUCUUCCCUUCUGGUUCGUCUGUUGUAUGGAAGGGAAUCAUGUACGGUCUCGAUCUUUUG
rnacentral:rRNA from 1 species